GACAGAGGGUGCAAACGUUGUUCGGAUUUACUGGGCGUAAAGCGUGUGUAGGCGGCUUCGCAAGUUGGAUGUGAAAUCCCACGGCUCAACCGUGGACGUGCAUCCAAAACUGCGUCGCUGGAGUCUCGGAGAGGAAGGUGGAAUGCUUGGUGUAGAGGUGAAAUUCGUAGAUAUCAAGCAGAACACCUGCGGCGAAGGCGGCCUUCUGGACGAUGACUGACGCUGAGACACGAAAGCGUGGGGAGCAAACAGG
rnacentral:rRNA from 1 species